rnacentral:rRNA from 1 species
ACAAAGGAGGCGAGCCUGUGAAGGUAAGCGAACCCCAAAAAUAACGUCCCAGUUCGGAUUGCAGUCUGCAACUCGCCUGCAUGAAGUCGGAAUUGCUAGUAAUCGCAGAUCAGCAUGCUGCGGUGAAUACGUUCCCGGGCCUUGUACACACCGCCCGUCACACCAUGGGAGUCGGUAACACCCGAAGUCGGUAGCCUAACCGUAAGGAGGGCGCCGCCGAAGGUGGGAUUGGUGACUGGGGUGAAGUCGUAACAAGGUAUC